AUUGAUCGUUCCCCUCACACAGAGGCAGUGACGGUAUAGUCACGCAAUUCCUCCGCCGCUGAAAAUUUUUAAUUCCUCGACAGCAGAAAUUUCUUCUGCUCUCUCUCAUACAAAAUCUAGGGUUUUGCAUCAGAAACCCUGAGAUAGAAACCAGGGAAAAGCAGCAUGGACGAAUACCAGAACAUGGAGCGGUUCACCACCGACAACGACUUCGAAGACGGGCAAUGGAUCGGCGGCGAAUUCUACUACAAGAAGCGCAAGGAGAAGCGUGUGCAGACCAAGGAAGACGUUCUUUACGGCGUCUUCGCCGACUCCGAUUCCGAUGAUGAUUCCUCAUCCAGGAAGCGCCGCAAGGACAGACCCUCCAUCGAUCUCACCAAGCCCGUCAACUUCGUCUCGACCGGCACUGUCAUGCCCAACCAAGAAAUCGACAGGAAUUCCGAAGACAACAACGGGGAUGAGGAGGGCGCGGCAUCGGGAUUAGGGUUCAAUUCGUCUAAUCAAGGGUCUGGAUUGGGGUUUGGGAGGGAAUCGAAAGGUACAGAUGAGAACGGGAACCCUGACAAUGGUGGUGAUGAUGAGGUUGAUUUCCUACCGACGGCAUUCGGGCGGCGAAUUAAAGAGGGUGCGGCCCGCCGGGAGAGGGAGCAAAGGGAGAAGCUGAAGAGCGAGAAGAAGUCGAGUAGGGGAAGGGUUGAAUCGGAACUUGGCGGUGACGUGGGGGUUUUUGAGAAGCAUACGAAGGGGAUUGGGAUGAAAUUGCUUGAGAAGAUGGGGUACAAAGGUGGCGGAUUGGGUAAGAAUGAACAAGGGAUUGUUGCCCCAAUUGAGGCGAAACUGCGGCCGAAGAACAUGGGGAUGGGAUUUAAUGACUACAAAGAAGCAAAGCUGCCUGCUCUGGAGGAGCCAAGGAAGGAGGAGAGUUCUGCUGUGGCGUCCACAAACCGACAGCCCAAGGAGAAGCUGUGGUCGAAGCAGAAUCGUGGGAGGAGGAAGGAGAGGGAAUACAUUACAGCGGAGGAACUGCUGGCUAGGAAGGAAGAGCAGGGACUAGAAGUCGUCCAGAAGGUGCUUGAUAUGCGGGGUCCACAGGUGAGGGUGCUGACGAACCUCGAGAAUUUGAAUGCAGAGGAGAAGGCGAAGGAGAACCAGGUACCGAUGCCAGAACUUCAGCACAAUGUGAGGCUGAUUGUUGACUUGGCGGAGCUUGACAUACAGAAGAUUGAUAGGGAUUUGAGGCAUGAAAGGGAGACUGUGGCGAGCUUGCAGAUUGAGAAGGAGAAGCUCCAGAAGGAGGCGGUCCGGCAGAAGAAGCAAUUGGACUGCAUGGAAGAGAUUAUAGGGACAUUGGAUCGGCUGGGCGAGGAGAAUUCAAUUGGAACAUUGACAUUGGAUAUGCUUGCGAUGACGUUUGAUGACCUGCAGAGGAGAUUUGGUGAUGAUUAUAAGCUGUGUAACUUGUCUUGCAUUGCAUGCUCAUUUGCUUUUCCAUUGAUGAUUAGAGUGUUUCAAGGGUGGGACCCACUGCAGAACCCAUCAUAUGGAUUGGAGGUGAUGUCAUUGUGGAAGACUCUGUUGGAGGGAGAUGACCCAUACGACUACUCUGAUGUUAGUGUGGCUUCACCAUAUACCCAGUUGAUGAUGGAUGUCAUUUUGCCAGCUGUGAGGAUAUCGGGCACUAACACGUGGAAGGCAAGGGAUCCAGAACCGAUGCUUCGGUUUUUGGAAUCGUGGGAGAAAUUGCUGCCUCCUCCAGUCCUUCAUAGCAUUUUGGAGAAUGUCAUAAUGCCAAAACUGUCAGAGGCUGUGCAGUCAUGGGACCCACGUCGGGAGACUGUCCCGAUUCACGUUUGGGUGCACCCAUGGCUCCCACUGAUGGGGCAGAGGUUGGAGAUCUUAUAUCACACAAUACGUGUCAAGUUGGGCAAUGUUCUUCAUGCUUGGCAUGCAAGCGACUCGUCUGCCUUUGCCAUACUUUCCCCAUGGAAGACUGUGUUUGAUCCGGCUAGUUGGGAACAGCUCAUCGUUCGUUACAUAGUUCCAAAACUGAUGGAUGCGUUGCAGGAAUUCCAAGUUAACCCGGCCACUCAGAAGCUCGAUCAGUUCUCCUGGGUUAUGACGUGGGCAUCUGCUGUUCCGAUUCAGCACAUGGUCACAUUGUUGGAAACAGGCUUCUUUGCGAAGUGGCUGCAGGUUUUGUGCCACUGGUUGUGCUCAAAUCCAAACUUUGAAGAAGUCACACAAUGGUUUUUGGGAUGGAAAGGACUUUUCCCAGCUGAACUGCUUGCAAAUGAGCGGAUCCGUUAUCAGCUAAAUCUAGGGCUUGACAUGAUGAAUCGAGCUGUGGAAGGUAUGGAGGUGGUGCAACCCGGGGCUAGAGAGAACAUUAGCUAUCUUAGAGUGACAGAGAAAAGGCAGUAUGAGGCUCAGCAGCAAGCUGCAGCAUACGCCCAGCGUCAAACUUCAGCUGGGCUUGGGAGCGGGAUCCAUGCAGAUGGUACAGAUGGUUUGCCCCAAUUGAGCUUGAAAGAGGUUAUUGAGGCCUGUGCACGGGAUAAUAAUUUGGUUUUUAAGCCCAAACCGCAUAGAACACAUGACGGCCUCCCAGUUUAUGGCUUUGGAAACAUAAGCAUAUGUGUGGACACUGUAAAGCAAAAACUCUUUGCACAAACAGAGGAAGGAUGGCGUGCUGUUUCCCUCGAAUGGUUGCUGGAUAUGCAUCGGAAUCAGGGCGUGGGUCGUCGCUGAGCUUUGAACAAGGGACCAAUCAAAGCAGUUGAGUUUUCAAGGUUGGGAUGGAAUUCUAUUGCAGUUAAAGGCAUAAGAGACCGGAACAAGAGCCCAGAGAGUUUGGUUUGGUCAAAGGAAGUUGAAAGGAUAUCAGCAUUGAAUUCUGCAAUUAUCAGAUUGGAAUGGGCUGUGGACCCAUUUCAGUGGAAAAGAACCAUUCCUUCCAAAUACCUCGAAUGGGCAUUUGGUAGCUGAAGCAUCAUAUCGUAGGUUGGGAUGGAAUGUCUUGGAUCAUGGUGGUGUAAAAGCUCUGGCAAAUAUGUGGGUAUCUCUCGUCUGUGGGGCCAACCCCUUGUAUGUUCUGCAAUGCUCCAUCUUCUGGUAAUCUGUUUUGAGGUUUUCGAAUUGGGUAGUCGAGCCUGGCUUUGGAGGGUUCCACCAAUGCCUGUUUGUACCUGCUCGGAUGAAAAUUUCACAUUCUCAUUUGAUAUGAUUUUGUUCGCAGAGUGAACUGCAAAUAUCAAGUUCAGCUGGGAUGGAGUGGCAAAAAUUAUUGGGAUGUGGAAUUAACCUUCAAAUUGCAGUUUCAUUUCUUUAGGAGGAAUGCUAUUGCGAUUUGUGAGAAUCAA